CAAUACACGCAAAGCUCGCAUUGAGUUGUCUCGCGAGACAUAAACACGCGCUGUCGGGGGUAAUGACAUCGUUGAAUUUCAUGUGAGAUACAUGUCGUGCGCUGGUGUGUGUUAGCACACAUGCAAAGCAUAAUCAAUGACGUCACACGGCGUGAAGCAAACGCGUCGUGCGCUGCGUUGUGUGCGUUGUGUGCUGGUGUGUGUGACCAUACAAAGAAAGCUUUACAUCAGCGCGCCGUGGCCACUGAUGGAACCGACUGUUUCUUUGACGAAAGUUAACCUAACCCGCGUACAAAAUGGCGCAAAAUGUCACGAAUUUAUCAUGCAUCAAGUUAUAUUUUCUUUAGUAUAAUAAUUACAUUCGUUUAGUUAUGCAACUUGUUCAUAGUGAUAAUUGUAGAAAAGUGUAGAAAAAUGACACUUGCAUUAUAUCCUGGGAUGAAGAAACGUUAUUUUAUGUCGAUUUCUUUAGAUGACAAAGGAGGUAACCAAAUAGCAUAUCUUACAAAAUCUGAGGACAAUAAUAAGGAUCGUUUAUCAAGUCGGUUGAGAAGCGGAUCGAGAAUGAUUGUUUGAAUAUAAGUCGUACAAAACUGGAAUGAAACGAUGAACAAUAUACAGAUCUUUAGACAGGCUCAAAUAAUAUAUGUUUAGGAGCAAAUUGAAGAUAAUGGAGAUUUAUCUUCUUAAUAUAAAACCUCUAAAAUUGGGAACAGUAUGUCGUAUAUGCAUGAACUUGAUUGAUGUAUUGAUGUAUAAUGAACUGAAGAUAGAAUGAAUUCAAUCAGGUUAAAAAAAAUGUAUGUGCAAAAGCGACUCGAAGACGAUUUAGAUUUGUCUCCUGAAUAUAAAACUUCCAAGAAGUACAUCAUAUAUGAAUAUCCUGUAUCCUCGCAUUUGAUGUAUUGAACUGGCGAUAGAAUGAAAUCAGUCAGUGUUAAAAAUGUAUGUAUAAAAGCGACUUUAAGAUGAUGGAGAUUUGUACACUGAACAUGUAGAAAACUUCCAAAAUUUGGGGCAGUAUGUCAUAUGUGCAUAAUCUGUAUCCUGGCAUUUGAUGCAAUGAACUGGCGAUAGAAUGAAAUAAUGAAAAAUAGGCAGGCUGUUUGAUGUAUAAGGAAGUGGCGAUAGAAUACUUAUGCAACACUUCACACUUCACGCCCCAAAAAUAGAAUUACGUUCAUUAGAUAUACAACAAUUUUCAUUAAAUAUACUGUUAUUAAUAUGUUAAGAUUGAAUAAUUUGUAAAAAGUUUUCUAGUAUAGUUCAUGUUAAAAUUUUAUAAUUUCAAAACUACAAUUCUAAUUUGUAAUAUUUAAAUAUUGUAAAAUUUCUUAUUAUUCACGUAAAUAAAUGCUUAUUCGUACA